GCAUGAGUAAUUUUGUUCCAAUGAGAAUGAAGACUGAGGGUUUUUUUGUUUUUUUCUUUUUUUUUCCCUCUUAAACAUUUUGGACAUCAUUGCUUAAUGGAGGGAAAUAAGUGAUAUUAUGCCCGUGCAGGCAGCACUGCUUGAGGUUUUUAACCCCCCUCCCGUGAAAAAACAAAUGCCUAGAUCCGUUUUGUCUCGCCUUCCUAGGAAGCUGGGGGGGAAGAGGCUGCGACGUGCUGAAACACUGUAAAGUGAAAUGGGAGGCGACCUGAGGCAGUUGCUCAAACUAGCAGCAGGACCGUGAGCCCCUCUUGGAUGCCUGGGUUGGCUGAUGGUACGUUCAGACGGGACCACGGGCGCCCCAGCACCCAUGCACCCAUGCACCGGAUGUUUGCAGCGCUGGAUACGGUUGCAGUGCUCCAGAGAUGGGUUGCGUGUCCUGGCCUGAGCGCUCUGGUCACGACCGUGCUUAGAGCUGACUGCAGCACAUGAAUUAAUCCAGAUGGUACAAAAACACUGACCGCCAUUGGGACAGAGGUGACCUAAGUUAUUUAAACACUUCCUGGAAAACGCUAAAGAUUAUUGAACAAAAAUAGCCCCUGCAUUGUAGUAUGAAAGGAGGGAUGCAGUUUAUUGUGAGUAAUAAUGAAUAUUUGUCCUAUAAUCUACGAAAAUAAUUUGGGUCACCACUGUCUAGCAAGUAAAGCAUCUUGAAGGGAGCCUUCAUCUGAAGGCUAACCUCUGUGUUUAAUUUCCUCCAAACUCUACUAUAAAUCAUCUCUGUGUGACACGAUACUGAGCUGUCAUGUCCUCCCGUGCUCUGUGUCUUCUAAAGGCACCUGGACAAAGGCAGCCCUUAUCUGUGGGCACUGGCAAAGCGUGCCAGAUACGGGACAGGAGAGGAACACUUGCCUGUGAAAAAGAGCCCAAAGCAACAAAAUAAACCCAUCCCAAACUGAAA